AGGAAGAUACAGACAUUGAGAUGGAAGUGGCAACAAGUGGUGGGUCACCUCGCACCGCAAUGGCCUUCAUUUUCUUAUAGUGGUGGGUCACCUCGCACCUCUUUUCCUGUUCAUUCAUUGAGUUCACCUAACAAAAAAAAAAAGGAUUGGACAUUUCCGAUAUCCGAACCACCUUCAGUGAAGUGCGACUCGGAAAGUCCUUGUCUAGACCUCCCCUUCUUCAAUGAAGGAUAGACGGAAUCCGCUCAUCCAGUCCCUAGAACACUUCCCAACACUGACUCGCUGGUUGGUUGAGAAAUCUGCCUUUGUAUCUGUAAAUGGGAGGCAUUAAACACAAUCGGGUGCUCUGCAAUCAUCCAAACUACAAGCGAGAGGAAAGUCUUGGAUCAACCUAUUGCUCCCGAGAUCAAAGCUAGACCGGAAGUUUGCACCAGCUGCUGCUGAUAUCCAAUCCCUGCUACAAGUCAAAACCGUUGGCACCACAGGAAGAAAUUACCUAAUUAUUAUUGAAGCAAGUCGUUGGGUCCGUUCUUGGCCUUAAUUUUUUUUAUUGUUUUCUUGAUAUUUACCAAAAAAAGAAAAAAGAGGAAUUCAAUAAAUUCUAUUUUGGUGA